rnacentral:tRNA from 1 species
UCCGAAAUAAGAGUUUGGAGACCGUUAGACUGAAGAUCUAAAGGUCGCUGGUUCGAUCCCAGGUUUCGGCA